ensembl:lncRNA
GUCACAAAUUUGUAGAGAAGCGCCGGGAUGCGACCGGGGCCAGCUUGCCUGCCAAUGGACCAGACCCAGUGGCCACAACUGGGACCCUUUUGUCCCUGGUCUCCUCCUGACGUGGACAACUGGCCAGAGUGCCCUGACCGGGCUUCCCUGGUGGCGCAGAGGUUAAAGCAUCUGCCUGCAAUGUGGGAGACCUGGGUUCAAUCCCUGGGUCCGGAAGAUCCCCGGGAGAAGGAAAUGGCAACCCACUCCAGUAUUCUUGCCUGGAGAAUCCCAUGGACAGAGGAACCUGGUGGGCUACAGUCCAUGGCUAGCAAAGAGUUGGACACGACUGAGCGACUUCACUUUCACUUUCAAGAUGCCAAAGACCAGAGAGCCACUCACAGGAAAAGAAAUUCCAUAUUUUGGACAACAAAGGGGUUUCCUAGGUGACUCAGUGGUAAAGAAUCUGCCUGACAAUGUAGGAGAUGCAGGAGAUGUGGGUUCAAUCUCUGGAUCAGGAAGAUCCCCUGGAGUAAGAAGUGGCAACCUGCUCCAGUAUUCUUGCCUGGAAAAUUCCAUGGACAGAGGAGCCUGAUAGGCUACAGUCUAUGGGGUUGCAAAGAAUCGGACACGACUGAGCAACUGAGCAUGCAUGCACACGUACAUGAUUUCUCUACAUAUUUUUCAAUAAUCUGUAUAAGUGACAACUGCAUUAAAUUUUAAGAAAA